rnacentral:hammerhead_ribozyme from 1 species
AUCCAGAUGACGAGUCCCAAAUGGGACGAAUUCGCUUCCUGGAU